GAUGAACGCUGGCGGCGUGCCUAAUACAUGCAAGUCGAGCGAACGGACGAGAAGCUUGCUUCUCUGAUGUUAGCGGCGGACGGGUGAGUAACACGUGGAUAACCUACCUAUAAGACUGGGAUAACUUCGGGAAACCGUAGCUAAUACCGGAUAAUAUUUUGAACCGCAUGGUUCAAAAGUGAAAGACGGUCUUGCUGUCACUUAUAGAUGGAUCCGCGCUGCAUUAGCUAGUUGGUAAGGUAACGGCUUACCAAGGCAACGAUGCAUAGCCGACCUGAGAGGGUGAUCGGCCACACUGGAACUGAGACACGGUCCAGACUCCUACGGGAGGCAGCAGUAGGGAAUCUUCCGCAAUGGGCGAAAGCCUGACGGAGCAACGCCGCGUGAGUGAUGAAGGUCUUCGGAUCGUAAAACUCUGUUAUUGGGGAAGAACAUAUGUGUAAGUAACUGUGCACAUCUUGACGGUACCUAAUCAGAAAGCCACGGCUAACUGCGUG
rnacentral:rRNA from 1 species